CAGUGCAAUUUGGGAAUUGCAGUCUGUCGUCUACACACUGAUCACCUAAACUGGAAGGAGAAAAUGAUCCCUAUCAGAGCUCCGAUUGAAAGUUUGCAUCAUUACAAUGUGCAGGACUUGUCAGAGGCAGUUUCCCCAGCAAAUGUUGGUCCUGAUAGGAUGUUCUGCUCUAAAUCGGACAACACGAUCACUCACUCGGAAGUAAAUCCCACUGAAUUCAAAGGUGUGACUCCCAAGAACAUUCUUCAGCUGAACGUGUUUUCCAGCACUGAUAAGUUCUGCACAUCUUUGGGUAAACCACUGCAUAUCUCUCCAAAUUCUACCAGUCACUGUAUUUCAGGGAUCCACUGACAAACAUUAACUGAUAGGCCAGCCUCUUCAUAAGACUUGCAGAGGAAUUGUUCACUUGAAAUUCCUUCAAAUAUGUUACUUUCAAAAGCCAAGAUUACUAAGUGUUUUCCCUGCUGAUGAACCAUUGAACACCUGUAUGGCGUCAACCCAGGUGUCAAAGUUGAGAAUGAUUUUUCACACGCAGCUGCAAAUGCAUCAAAGCAAGAGAAAUCCAAAAGAGGAAGUUCCCACAUGUAUCAGAAUUAAGCACAAAAUUAAGGAAAAGAAUUUCUAGCUCAGAUUCAAAUGCAUUACACAAAAAUGAUUUGGACACAAAAGCAGCAAAGGAUCCUGUAAGCAGUUCUCAGUCUAAGAAAUGGGAAGAUGCAGAAUACUUUUAUUAUUUUGAUGGAUUCUAAUAGAUCACUGGCAUGAAGCCAAUACCAAAGUUUUGCUUAACAUGAAUUGCUCCAGAACCAGGACAUAGAUAUGGAGCUGGCAUGCCGUUUUUCUGUGUUGCUACAAUAACAGUGAAGAGGCCUGCUUCAUUCUCUCCCAACUACAGCAGGUGACAAGUCUACUUUGGUCAUCAUCCUGCAGUGGACACCAGUAUUUCUUUUGGCAAGAUGUCUCAAGGCAAAGAUAUGGUACAAACUUGCAACUUUUUACCACAGUCACUUGGGGGGAGGGGGUUGAUUCUUCUCAUUAUUGAAGUUUUUCUGGCUAGCAUCAACAAACCAUAGACAGUUCAAUUCAGCAUCCACUGAACAUAACCAUCCGGUCUCCUGAGGAUGAUCCCUUUAUAAACCACCCUGCAGUAUGUUUCAAGAUCACAAAAAAAAAUUUUAUUCCACAAUUGGUGGAUAUUCAUUGUAUUAUUGAAUUUGAUUGAAUACUCAUGCAUUGUACUUUAAGGAUUUGAUUAUCUAACCAUUGCUAUCUUUCAUUACAUAAACCAAGUGUUAUAGAAUGGGAUUUUGCUUUUCAAAUCCCAAGAAAAGUGAUGUUCUUUGGUUUUCUUAACAAAGUCUUAAAGAACAGUUUUGCAUUGGUCUAUGUGGGUAAAGAAUGUUUGUAUAUGACAACCAGUUGCAAUAUAAGCUUGUCAAUAUAAGCUUGUCAAUGUGUGUGUCAGCAUGUGCUUUGUCAAUGGGAGCAAAUGGCAUGAUUGCUUUUCCUAGCUGAAGUUUUUGCAAUGUUUCAGCUAUUUGUUUUAAGAUGUGAUAUUAACAUUGCAUGAAAUCUUGAACCUAUUGCAUUGCCAUAUAGACUCUAGAUUUCACACCCUAGAUUUCAGAAACACUUAGAAAUAGUUAAGCAAAUAGGAGAAAAAGUCACAUAGCAGGUAAAGUAUAAAUACCACAAUAUCAGCAAUAUUGCAGCUAAGAUUAGAAAUAUAGGCACAAAAUUGUGGGACCUCUACUCAGCUGGAGUGAAAAUGCCAUGGGAGUUCUCUCAACUAUAACCCAUCCCAUUGUGAUAUUUCUGAUAUUUCGCAUUGGCUGUUAUCAUUACGAUUGCCAUGGUAAGGUGGAUGGAUAAAGUCCCAAAUGAAACAGUUACAUAAGAUGGAAGAAAGCAUAAGGGUCCAGUGCAGAACGCAGUGACAUAAGAUGUGAAAAACAUCUGUAUAAGUAUAUCCAAAUGUUUUUCAAUGGGGGGAGUUGUUACUUGUGCUUGGGCUAACCCCCACUUUGGUUCAUUUGGAGUCGAAGGGGUGGCAAGGCCCUGGAGUAUUCUGGACUAAAAUUCCCACCCUACGACCCCUGUUUUCUGACUCCUUGUGCCCUCUUAAGUACUGUGAAAUGAGGACAAGAAGCAAGGACCAUCUUUUGGCACUUUUGGAGGAAUGUAAAGACCCUGAAUUAAAUGUUAUCUCAUUUCUUGGCUCAAGCUCAGCAGAACGAUCCCUUUGUUUAAAGAAAGCAUUAGAAAGUAGCCUGAGUUUCUCUGUCAGCAAGAAACACACACAUCAUCAGGUCACCUCAUACACAGACCCUUCCUUUUCAUGUUGAUUUAUAAGAGGUAAAGUGCAUUUAAGAGCAGUUUCUGAGAUCCAAGGGGGCAAUCUGAGCUCCAACAUGUGUAACUAUGCUCUUAAGGAAUGCAAUGCAGGACUGAAGGCCACAGACCGGGAAGGGAGUCUGUGUCUCGGUGCAAACUUUGAGGCAAAGAGAUUCCUUCCUGCUUUUUGGUCAGAGCUCCUUCACAUCACUUCAGCUGUAUUCCACUGCCCACUCCUGGGCCUAGGAUAGGUAAUCUCUCUUACUUGUCACUCCUUAUAGGGAUCUUUUAUUUCUUUAGUGUAGAGUUAUGAAUGGGUUAGUGUAUUAAUGAUUAAUGCUGCAACACACCCAGUAAGUUUGUAAUGCUAUUCUUCUCUUUUCUGUUAAUACAAGAAGACUUUGCUUUAGUCUGGUUUGGACCUGCAUUUCUUGGGUUAUAAACAUACUGUUUAGGCACCUUUCAGGGCUAUGGACUGCCUUCAAGUCGAUCCCGACUUAUGGCAACCCUAUGAAAGGCCAGCUCCAAAGGCGGUUAGGUGGGACCCUGGCUGAGGGCCCCUGAGGCUAUAAGGGCCCCUGAGGGCCCCCCACGCCCCUUCUGCGAUCCACGGAGCUUCCGAGCCACCCACUAUUCCCUCACUCCACCUACCUUUUUCUGCUGACUUCUUUUGCAGCUGUAUGCAGUGCAUGC